UUCUUCUUCAUCAUCGGUCUCUCCUCCUAUAACUCUCUAUUCCUCGAUUAUUCUUUUCUCCUAUCUCUUACUCUCUUCCUCUGAUUAUGAUUUUAUCAAUUUCGCUUCAGAUUCCAGAUUUAUUAUCUCUUUAUCACCCUCGCUUUCAUCCCCAGAUUUAUCUUCUCCUUCUUCGAUUUGAUAAAAUCUUCAGCCUCCAUCUUCGUUGAGAUAGCCCUAAACCAUAGAUUUGAUUUUGGUGGCUGAAACGUAGGUGAAACCCAAACCAUCUUCGUCGCUUGGUUCUUCGUAGCUGAAAGGUUUCUCGAUUCAAUUGCUUAAUCCUCCUCCCUCCGACUCGCCUCUUUCUCUUUCUCUCGGCUCCACAUGUAUGAUUUUGUUAGGAUUCACUAGAUUUAUUAGCAACUGUAGAUGGAUGUGGGUUAGAUUGAUUUAGCCAUCUCAAUUGGUUACCUUAGGGUUUUUAGAUUUCUUUAAUUUGGAAAUUGGAAGCUUGAAAAUCAAUAAGGUACUCUUAAUUAGGAGAAAUCUGUUAACUGUAAGCUUGAAAUCCAACAAGAGAUAUCUGGAGAUAGAGCUCGGGGUGAGAAACUCAUCAGUAGGAGUUUGUACAACGGGUUGAGAGAGACUUGUUGAAUACCUUGAGUGGUGGACAGUAAAAAAAUUGUAAGAUUACUUCAAGUGUAAAUGAACAAGCUACGAACGAGAAUGAAUUAUGGAUACUUAUGUCCCCAUGAUUUGAUGAUGUCUUCUUCGACCUUCAGAUUUCAGGGGAGGAUUUUGGAAGGUACUUUCUUGUUACUGCUAGCCUUUUGUGUUUGAUUUCUUGUUUUUUGCAGCUUGUAUAAGGGUAUUGCUCCACUAUGGGGACGCCAGAUUCCUUCAUAAGUAAUUCUUUAAAGGCAAAGUGGUGAAUAUGCUGAAGUUUCCCUAGCUGGGUGGAUAAUGACCAAGCAAUCUUCCUCUUCCAAGCUCUUCUUCUAUGAACUACAAUUAAUUGAUCAGAUUCUUGAUGACUAUAAUGCACAUCCUUACUAGG